GGCUUCAUAGCUCAGUUAGUUGGACUAUCGCACCGGUAUCGCGAGUAUAUGGGUUCAAACCCCGUUGAAGUCC
rnacentral:tRNA from 1 species